AAAGCUUUAGCUUAAUUAAAGUAUCUGCUUUGCAUGCAGAAGAUGUGGGUUUGACUCCUGUAAGUUUUA
rnacentral:tRNA from 1 species